AGUGAAGCGGGAAAAGCUCAAAUUUAAAAUCUGGCGGUCUUUGGCUGUCCGAGUUGUAAUCUAGAGAAGUGUUGCCUGCAUUGGACCGUGUACAAGUCUUCUGGAAUGAAGCGUCAUAGAGGGUGAGAAUCCCGUCUUUGACACGGACUCCCAAUGUAUUGUGGCAUGCUCUCAAAGAGUCGAGUUGUUUGGGAAUGCAGCUCUAAAUGGGUGGUAACCUCCAUCUAAAGCUAAAUAUUGGCAAGAGACCGAUAGCGAACAAGUACCGUGAGGGAAAGAUGAAAAGAACUUUGGAAAGAGAGUUAAACAGUACGUGAAAUUGUUGAAAGGGAAACGCUUGAAGUCAGUCACAUUUGCCAGGGAUCAGCCUAGCUCUUUUGCUUGGUGUACUUCCUGGUUGAUGGGCCAAUGUCAGUUUUGACUGCCAGACAAGGGCAGAGGGAAUGUGGCACCUCCGGGUGUGUUAUAGCCUUCUGUCAUAUAUGUCAGUUGGGACUGAGGAAUGCAGCAUGCCGCAAGGGCCAGGUCAUUUUGACCAUGUUCAUGCUUUGGAUGUUGGCAUAAUGGCUUUAAUCGACCCGUCUUGAAACACGGACCAAGGAGUCUAACAUGCCUGCGAGUGUUUGGGUGGAAAACCCGGGCGCAUAAUGAAAGUAAAAGUUGAGAUCCCUGUCGUAGGGGAGCAUCGACGCCCGGACCUGAGCUUUUAGCAAUGGAUCUGCGGUAGAGCAUGUAUGUUGGGACCCGAAAGAUGGUGAACUAUGCCUGAAUAGGGCGAAGCCAGAGGAAACUCUGGUGGAGGCUCGUAGCGAUUCUGACGUGCAAAUCGAUCGUCGAAUUUGGG
rnacentral:rRNA from 1 species